rnacentral:rRNA from 1 species
UACGUAGGGGGCAAGCGUUGUCCGGAUUUACUGGGCGUAAAGAGCGUGUAGGCGGCCAAGCAGGUCCGUUGUGAAAACUGGAGGCUUAACCUCCAGACGUCGACGGAAACCGCGUGGCUAGAGUCCGGAAGAGGAGAGUGGAAUUCCUGGUGUAGCGGUGAAAUGCGCAGAUAUCAGGAAGAACACCAAUGGCGAAGGCAGCUCUCUGGGACGGUACUGACGCUGAGACGCGAAAGCGUGGGGAGCGAACCGG